rnacentral:rRNA from 1 species
AGUGAACGCUGGCGGUAGGCCUAACACAUGCAAGUCGAACGGCAGCACAGUAAGAGCUUGCUCUUACGGGUGGCGAGUGGCAGACGGGUGAGGAAUACAUCGGAAUCUACUUUUUCGUGGGGGAUAACGUAGGGAAACUUACGCUAAUACCGCAUACGACCUACGGGUGAAAGCAGGGGAUCUUCGGACCUUGCGCGAUUGAAUGAGCCGAUGUCGGAUUAGCUAGUUGGCGGGGUAAAGGCCCACCAAGGCGACGAUCCGUAGCUGGUCUGAGAGGAUGAUCAGCCACACUGGAACUGAGACACGGUCCAGACUCCUACGGGAGGCAGCAGUGGGGAAUAUUGGACAAUGGGCGCAAGCCUGAUCCAGCCAUACCGCGUGGGUGAAGAAGGCCUUCGGGUUGUAAAGCCCUUUUGUUGGGAAAGAAAAGCGGCAGGUUAAUACCCCGCUGUUCUGACGGUACCCAAAGAAUAAGCACCGGCUAACUUCGUG